GACGAACGCUGGCGGCGUGCUUAACACAUGCAAGUCGAACGAUGAAGCGGGUGCUUGCACUCGUGGAUUAGUGGCGAACGGGCGAGUAACACGUGAGUAACCUGUCCUUUUCUUUGGGAUAACGGCUGGAAACGGCUGCUAAUACUGGAUAUUCAGGCUGCAUCGCAUGGUGUGGUUUGGAAAGGUUUUUUCUGGGAUUGGGUGGGCUCGCAGCCUAUCAGCUUGUUGGUGGGGUGAUGGCUUACCAAGGCUUUGACGGGCAGCCGGCCUGAGAGGGUGGUCGGUCGCACUGGGACUGAGAUACGGCCCAGACUCCUACGGGAGGCAGCAGUGGGGAAUAUUGCACAAUGGACGAAAGUUUGAUGCAGCGACGCCGCGUGGAGGGUGUAGGCCUUCGGGUUGUGAACUCCUUUUUCUCGCGAAAAAGGCACAGUUUUGGCUGUGUUGAUGGUAGUGGGGGAAGAAGCGCCGGCUAACUACGUG
rnacentral:rRNA from 1 species